UUAACCUACGGGGCGCAGCAGUGGGGAAUAUUGCACAAUGGGGGAAACCCUGAUGCAGCGACGCCGCGUGAGUGAAGAAGUAUCUCGGUAUGUAAAGCUCUAUCAGCAGGGAAGAAAAUGACGGUACCUGACUAAGAAGCCCCGGCUAACUACGUGCCAGCAGCCGCGGUAAUACGUAGGGGGCAAGCGUUAUCCGGAUUUACUGGGUGUAAAGGGAGCGUAGACGGCGCUGCAAGUCCGGAGUGAAAGCCCAUGGCUU
rnacentral:rRNA from 1 species